UUGGAGGGCAAGUCUGGUGCCAGCAGCCGCGGUAAUUCCAGCUCCAAUAGCGUAUAUUAAAGUUGUUGCAGUUAAAAAGCUCGUAGUUGAAUUUCGGGGUUCAUCCGUUGGUCGGGCUUUUUUGGUCUGUACUGGCGUGAUGGAUUCCUACCUUCUGAAUAACCAGCAUGUCAUUAAUUUGGUGCGCUGGGGAAGCAGGACUGUUACCUUGAAAAAAUUAGAGUGCUUAAAGCAGGCUAUCGCCUGAAUACAUUAGCAUGGAAUAAUGAAAUAGGACGGCAUGGUUCUAUUUUGUUGGUUUCUAGGAUCACCGUAAUGAUUAAUAGGGAUAGUUGGGGGCAUUAGUAUUCAAUUGUCAGAGGUGAAAUUCUUGGAUUUAUUGAAGACUAACUUCUGCGAAAGCAUUUGCCAAGGAUGUUUUCAUUAAUCAAGAACGAAAGUUAGGGGAUCGAAGACGAUCAGAUACCGUCGUAGUCUUAACCAUAAACUAUGCCGACUAGGGAUCGGAUGAUGUUAAUUUUUUAAUGACUCAUUCGGCGCCUUACGGGAAAC
rnacentral:rRNA from 1 species